AUUGAACGCUGGCGGAAUGCUUUACACAUGCAAGUCGAACGGCAGCACGGGGGCAGCCCUGGUGGCGAGUGGCGAACGGGUGAGUAAUACAUCGGAACGUGCCCGGUCGUGGGGGAUAACGUAGCGAAAGUUACGCUAAUACCGCAUACGAUCUGAGGAUGAAAGCGGGGGACCUUCGGGCCUCGCGCGAUCGGAGCGGCCGAUGUCAGAUUAGGUAGUUGGUGGGGUAAAGGCCUACCAAGCCGACGAUCUGUAGCUGGUCUGAGAGGACGACCAGCCACACUGGGACUGAGACACGGCCCAGACGCCUACGGGAGGCAGCAGUGGGGAAUUUUGGACAAUGGGCGCAAGCCUGAUCCAGCCAUUCCGCGUGCAGGACGAAGGCCUUCGGGUUGUAAACUGCUUUUGUACGGAACGAAAAGGCUCUGGCUAAUACCUGGGGCUCAUGACGGUACCGUAAGAAUAAGCACCGGCUAACUACGUG
rnacentral:rRNA from 1 species